UGUUUCCGAUUCGCUGAACGGACUUUUCUCAGCUAAAUCAAUUUUGGCUUACAAGCAUCCAUCUGAGCUCUGUGGCAUUUGAAUUUUCAUCCUGUGAUAUAAUGUGGGGACACAAGAAGAAUGUCUUGGCCAAGACAGGUCACUGCUCAAUGCUCUUUGCAUGCCUGGCUCAGGAGACAGCUAGUGGAAAAAAAAAAAAAAGCCAUAAAGCAGAAAGGAGCUUUGCAUGUUCAUGGACCUGAAAGAAUGCCAGUAGACUGGAGCACAGGAGGCAGCUAGAGGUGGUAUGAGAUGAAGAUCCCAAGGUCGACGGGGGAUCAGAUCAGGAAGAGUUUUAAAUCAAAGUUUGGGAGGUCAGAUGUCUGGAAUGAAACUCGCUGGGUUAAAAUCAAGGUGUCAGCAGGACUGCAUUUGUUCUGGAGGCUCAGGGAAGGAACUUGUAGUGAUAAGGAAGAUAUGGGCCUGGAAUUGCCAGAAGCCACCACGUGAAUCUUAAGAAUGAAGCUGACACAGCAGAAGGCAGAGCCCAGAAACUAAGAGAAACCAAUUUCAAUUACAGUUUUGGAGCUCCUGGGUCAAGCUGAUGAUGACACUAAACAGCCCUGAGACUGUUCUACUAUAUGAAUAAUUUUUCUUUCUUGUCAAAGUGAGUUUGA